AACUAACUUUCAAUUGAAGCUACAUUUCAAGGCCCAGCAUUUACUAUCGUUUUGCGGCGUGCUUGAGCUUGUGCAUCUUUUCACGUUUAAUAAACAUUCCUUCUUGCAGACCACUGUCAGUUAUCUGGUACUUAUCUAAUGUACCGUCUGCCUCCACAACCAUUCUCCCUUUGACAAUUGAAGAACACCGCAGCCACAGGAGGUCCAAGAUUAUAAAGUGCUGAAAAGUCUCUAGUGUUGAAAUUUGGUCUCCAUCCCGGAGCAUAAACAGUUUGCUGGACAUAUUGGCGAAAAAGUACAAAGACUAAGCGAUGUAUUCCAGCAGUUGGCUUUGGGUUUUCAUAGCUGACAAUUUCAUUUCCUGUAAUAACAUUUGUGCAAACAUGUCAAAAUGUGUUAAUGGAAUGUUGCUCUCAUCUGUGGAAAUAUUGUGAGACAGCUGAAUAAAUCAAAUCUACUUUCAGUGGAAUUGGAUUGCAAAAUUUUUAUUGCAGCAGCAAUCCAAAGAAUCAUCAUCAGGGACAAGACAGCCAGCUUCUUACUAUUCAGUUAUUCAAGAUUCCUGUACUUCUCGACGGCAUAGUUUUUAUUCUAGUCAGCACCAUGUACACAAGAUGCAAGUCAGGUACAUGUGCCGACGCUAUCAAGCGAAACGGAAGUGCAGAGGUCCUUUUCAGUCCAUAAAGAAUAGCUUACAACUUACAGAAAGUUGAGAUUCUUGCUUUCAGUGCUCUUUAGCACUGAAAACAACUAAAGGCAAUGAACUCCAAAAGCAGAUGUUACAAAUAAGAGACUGUGCAGUAACUUCACAAAUAAGAGAUCCUGUAUAAUUAAGCAUAUAUGUUUUUUCAUUGACCCUAAAUACAUCCUGUUGAACUUAAGGUUUA